CAGUCGCCGCGGUAAUACGUAGGUGGCAAGCGUUGUCCGGAAUUAUUGGGCGUAAAGGGUUCGCAGGCGGUUUCUUAAGUCUGAUGUGAAAGCCCCCGGCUCAACCGGGGAGGGUCAUUGGAAACUGGGAAACUUGAGUGCAGAAGAGGAGAGUGGAAUUCCACGUGUAGCGGUGAAAUGCGUAGAGAUGUGGAGGAACACCAGUGGCGAAGGCGACUCUCUGGUCUGUAACUGACGCUGAGGAGCGAAAGCGUGGGGAGCGAACAGGAUUAGAUACCCCUGUAGUCCCUGUCUCUUAUAC
rnacentral:rRNA from 1 species